UACGUAGGGUGCAAGCGUUGUCCGGAAUUAUUGGGCGUAAAGAGCUCGUAGGCGGUUUGUUGCGUCGGCUGUGAAAACCUGAGGCUCAACCUCAGGCCUGCAGUCGAUACGAGCAGACUAGAGUGUUGCAGGGGAGACUGGAAUUCCUGGUGUAGCGGUGUAAUGCGCAGAUAUCAGGAGGAACACCGGUGGCGAAGGCGGGUCUCUGGGCAACAACUGACGCUGAGGAGCGAAAGCGUGGGGAGCGAACAGG
rnacentral:rRNA from 1 species